CGCACGGGUGAGUAACACGUAUGCAAUCCACCUGUAACAGGGGGAUAACCCGGAGAAAUCCGGACUAAUACCCCAUAAUAUGGGCGCUCCGCAUGGAGAGCCCAUUAAAGAGAGCAAUUUUGGUUACAGACGAGCAUGCGCUCCAUUAGCCAGUUGGCGGGGUAACGGCCCACCAAAGCGACGAUGGAUAGGGGUUCUGAGAGGAGGUCCCCCACAUUGGAACUGAGACACGGUCCAA
rnacentral:rRNA from 1 species